GUGCUCACUUYGGCAACACAUAUACUAAAAUUGGAAUGAUACAUAAAAGAUUAGCAUGGCCCCUGCGCAAGGGUGACACACAAAUUCAUGAAGCAUUCCGUAUUUUU
ensembl:snRNA U6 U6 spliceosomal RNA